rnacentral:rRNA from 1 species
AGUGAACGCUGGCGGUAGGCCUAACACAUGCAAGUCGAACGGCAGCACAGUAAGAGCUUGCUCUUACGGGUGGCGAGUGGCGGACCGGUGAGGAAUACAUCGGAAUCUACUUUUUCGUGGGGGAUAACGUAGGGAAACUUACGCUAAUACCGCAUACGACCUACGGGUGAAAGCAGGGGAUCUUCGGACCUUGCGCGAUUGAAUGAGCCGAUGUCGGAUUAGCUAGUUGGCGGGGUAAAGGCCCACCAAGGCGACGAUCCGUAGCUGGUCUGAGAGGAUGAUCAGCCACACUGGAACUGAGACACGGUCCAGACUCCUACGGGAGGCAGCAGUGGGGAAUAUUGGACAAUGGGCGCAAGCCUGAUCCAGCCAUACCGCGUGUGUGAAGAAGGCCUUCGGGUUGUAAAGCCCUUUUGUUGGGAAAGAAAAGCAGCAGGUUAAUACCCCGCUGUUCUGACGGUACCCAAAGAAUAAGCACCGGCUAACUUCGUG